CUGACGUAAAAUAGGCUCGGGUAUCAAUAUCUAUACCUACAGUAAAUAUAUGGUGAGCUCAAACAAUAAAACCUAAAAUUCCAAUUGCAAUUAUUGCAUAAAUUAUUCCAAUAGAUCCGAAAGUUUCCCUUUUUCCUCUUUCUUGUAUAAUAAUAUGAGAAAUUAAUCCAAAUCCUGGAAGAAUAAGGAUGUAAACUUCUGGGUGACCAAAGAAUCAGAAUAAAUGCUGGUAGAGGAUUGGGUCUCCACCCCCGGUGGGGUCAAAAAAUGAUGUAUUUAGAUUUCGGUCAGUUAAUAGUAUAGUAAUUGCUCCAGCUAGAACAGGAAGGGAUAGAAGGAGUAAAAUAGCUGUAAUUAAUACAGAUCAACAGAAUAGAGGUAAUUUUUCUAUUGAAAUAUUUUUUGAUCGCAUGUUUAAAAUUGUUGAAAUAAAAUUAAUUGCACCUAUAAUUGAUCUAACCCCUGCGAUGUGAAGAGAAAAAAUGGUUAAAUCUACAGAUGGUCCGGAAUGGGAUGUUACUCUAGAAAGGGGGGGAUAAACGGUUCAACCUGUUCCAGAACCAGUUCCAGUGAGUGAUCUUGAAAUUAAUAAAAUUAAAGAUGGGGGUAAAAGUCAGAAUCUUAUAUUAUUUAUUCGUGGGAAGGCUAUAUCUGGUGCACCAAUUAUUAAGGGUACUAAUCAAUUACCAAAACCUCCAAUUAGAAUUGGUAUUACUAUAAAGAAAAUUAUAAUAAAAGCAUGUGAUGUAAUUAAAACAUUAUAGAUUUGAUCAUUUUUAAUUAGAGAUCCUGGUUGAGUUAAUUCUGAUCGGAUAAUUAUACUACUUAUGGUUCCUAUAAAUCCUGACCAAAUACCUAGGAUAAAGUAAAGGGUUCCAAUGUCUUUAUGAUUAGUAGAUAUUAGCCAUUUUUUCAUUAACUAAAAUCUAAAUAGGGUGUCUGAUUUAGGUAAUAAAUUGUAAAUUUAUUUAAGGGUUAAUUUCCUCCUAUUAAACUUAAUCUAAGGCUUAAACCUAAGGAAUAUUUUCAACUUUGAAGGUUAAUAGUUUAGAUAACUUAAAUCCUUAGUUUUUCUAAACCUUAUAUUCAAAUAUGAUUUUAAAUUGCAAAUUUAAAGGUGAAUGUGUUUUCUAAGGGAUUUAUAUUCAAAAAAUUAAUAUUAUAGGAAAUAUUCAAAAAAUUAAUAUUAUAGGAAAUACUAUUAAAUUUAGAAUAGAAAAAGAUUUAGCUGUAUUAUUCUUAAAAUUUUUCUUUUUUAGGGAAAAUUGCUUAUAUGUAAAUAAUUGAUUUGAAUAUACAUGAAUAUUGAGAUUAUGAGGUUAAAAUUAUAAUUCUGGGGAGAAUUAUAAGGGGUUUUAAUUAAUUCAUUUUGGGAAGAAUCCUAAAAAGGGGGGGCCUUAUAGAUUACGAAACUUCCUCCUAUUAAAUUAAUUUUAGGCUUUAACCUAGGGAGUACAUUCAAUUUUAUAGGUAAAUAUAGUUAUAUAAUUGGAAUCUCGGUUUUUUCUAAACCUUAUAUUCAAAUAUGAUUUUAAAUUGCAAAUUUAAAGGUGAAUGUGUUUUCUAAGGGAUUUAUAUUCAAAAAAUUAAUAUUAUAGGAAAUACUAUUAAAUUUAGAAUAGAAAAAGAUUUAGCUGUAUUAUUCUUAAAAUUUUUCUUUUUUAGGGAAAAUUGCUUAUAUGUAAAUAAUUGAUUUGAAUAUACAUGAAUAUUGAGAUUAUGAGGUUAAAAUUAUAAUUCUGGGGAGAAUUAUAAGGGGUUUUAAUUAAUUCAUUUUGGGAAGAAUCCUAAAAAGGGGGGGGGCCUUAUAGAUUACGAAACUUCCUCCUAUUAAAUUAAUUUUAGGCUUUAACCUAGGGAGUACAUUCAAUUUUAUAGGUAAAUAUAGUUUAUAUAAUUGGAAUCUCGGUUUUUUCUAAACCUUAUAUUCAAAUAUGAUUUUAAAUUGCAAAUUUAAAGGUGAAUGUGUUUUCUAAGGGAUUUAUAUUCAAAAAAUUAAUAUUAUAGGAAAUACUAUUAAAUUUAGAAUAGAAAAAGAUUUAGCUGUAUUAUUCUUAAAAUUUUUCUUUUUUAGGGAAAAUUGCUUAUAUGUAAAUAAUUGAUUUGAAUAUACAUGAAUAUUGAGAUUAUGAGGUUAAAAUUAUAAUUCUGGGGAGAAUUAUAAGGGGUUUUAAUUAAUUCAUUUUGGGAAGAAUCCUAAAAAGGGGGGGGGCCUUAUAGAUUACGAAACUUCCUCCUAUUAAAUUAAUUUUAGGCUUUAACCUAGGGAGUACAUUCAAUUUUAUAGGUAAAUAUAGUUUAUAUAAUUGGAAUCUCGGUUUUUUCUAAACCUUAUAUUCAAAUAUGAUUUUAAAUUGCAAAUUUAAAGGUGAAUGUGUUUUCUAAGGGAUUUAUAUUCAA